AUUCCAGCUCCAAUAGCGUAUAUUAAAGUUGUUGCAGUUAAAAAGCUCGUAGUUGGAUUUCCGGCGUGAGGGAUCAGUCUGACUUCUAGUCAGUACUUGGUCCUCUCAUGCCGUCCUUGAAUGGUGCAUCCUGGCAUUAAGUUGUCGGGGUGAGAGCCGUUCAUCGUUUACUGUGAGAAAAUUAGAGUGUUCAAAGCAGGCUUAUGCCGUUGAAUAUAUUAGCAUGGAAUAAUAAGAUAGGACUUUGGCGUCUGUUUUGUUGGUUUGCACACCAAGGUAAUGAUUAAUAGGGAUAGUUGGGGGUAUUCGUAUUUAAUUGUCAGAGGUGAAAUUCUUGGAUUUAUGAAAGACGAACUUCUGCGAAAGCAUCUACCAAAGAUGUUUUCAUCA
rnacentral:rRNA from 1 species